AAGCCAGCCAAUCAGUCUGCUUACCUGAAUGUGUUCUGCGGAAAUUUAGAGAAAGCUGGCAAUAGUAAAGCCGUGAUACGAGCCUUAAAGACAUUGAAGACAUUAAGGUCCCUGGAAAUGGCUAUAAGA